rnacentral:rRNA from 1 species
AGAGAGAGACAUGCGCGCAUAUCAAUAAGCGGAGGAAAAGAAACUAACAAGGAUUCCCUUAGUAACGGCGAGUGAAGCGGGAAGAGCUCAAAUUUGAAAUCUUCAAGGUUUUACCUUGACGAAUUGUAGUUUAAAGAGGUGUUUUCUGCUGAAGUUUUGGUAAAAGUUCUUUGGAAUAGGACAUCAUAGAGGGUGAGAAUCCCGUAUUUGACCAUUAUUUUCAGCUUUGUGAUACACUUUCAAAGAGUCGGAUUGUUUGGGAAUGCAGUCCAAAAUGGGUGGUAAAUUUCAUCUAAAGCUAAAUAUUGGCGAGAGACCGAUAGCGAACAAGUACCGUGAGGGAAAGAUGAAAAGAACCUUGAAAAGAGAGUUAAACAGUACGUGAAAUUGUCCAAAAGGGAAGUGUUUGACACCAGUGUUGUUUUCUCGAAAAUCAAUUAAAAAUGGCUCGAUUUUGUAUUGUUGAGACCUUAAAAGCUCACUGUACAUUUUUCGUGUCUUUUUUAAUGCACUUUUCGUUUAACAAGUCAACAUCAGUUUCUUUUGUUGUAAAAGGGUCCAUUGGAAGGUGGCUUUCUUUUCGGAGAAAGUGUUUAUAGCCUUUGGCCUCUGCAAUCGAAGAGACUGAGGUCUGCAGCGUAGACUCUUCGGGGUUAGAUACAUUUGUGCUAAGUUAUAGCUUUUUAUAGACAACUUGUUGACUAUAAUUAGUCUUGUAGCUUACUCGCUUAUGCUAUUUUACCUACGCUUAGGAUGUUGAGUCGUAGAGCACGCAG